rnacentral:rRNA from 1 species
CACGUAGGGGACGAGCGUUGUCCGGAAUCAUUGGGCGUAAAGCGCGUGUAGGCGGCCCGGUAAGUCCGCUGUGAAAGUCGGGGGCUCAACCCUCGAAUGCCGGUGGAUACUGUCGGGCUAGAGUGCGGAAGAGGCGAGUGGAAUUCCUGGUGUAGCGGUGAAAUGCGCAGAUAUCAGGAGGAACACCAAUUGCGAAGGCAGCUCGCUGGGACGUGACUGACGCUGAGACGCGAAAGCGUGGGGAGCAAACAGG